CCCUUAGAUGUCCUGGGCUGCACGCGCGCUACACUGAUGUGUCCAGUAAGCACCUAACCUCUUCCGAAAGGAACGGGUAACCUUUGCAAAGCACAUCGUGAUGGGGAUAGAUUAUUGCAAUUAUUAGUCUUGAACGAGGAAUUCCUAGUAAGCACAAGUCAUCAGCUUGUGUUGAUUACGUCCCUGCCCUUUGUACAAACCGCCCGUCGCUCCUACCGAUUGAAUGUUCCGGUGAGCUCUUCGGACUGCGCGGUCUGCAGUUUCUGCGUUCCGUGCGGAAAGUUGCGCAAACCUUAACAUUUAGAGGAAGGAGAAGUCGUAACA
rnacentral:rRNA from 1 species